UACGUAGGGUGCAAGCGUUAAUCGGAAUUACUGGGCGUAAAGCGUGCGCAGGCGGUUUUGUAAGUCUGUCGUGAAAUCCCCGGGCUCAACCUGGGAAUUACAAUGGAGACUGCAAGGCUAGAAUCUGGCAGAGGGGGGUAGAAUUCCACGUGUAGCAGUGAAAUGCGUAGAGAUGUGGAGGAACACCGAUGGCGAAGGCAGCCCCCUGGGUCAAGAUUGACGCUCAUGCACGAAAGCGUGGAGAGCAAACAGG
rnacentral:rRNA from 1 species